UACAGAGGUCUCAAGCGUUGUUCGGAUUCAUUGGGCGUAAAGGGCGCGUAGGCGGCGGGGUAAGUCGGGUGUGAAAUCUCAGAGCUCAACUCUGAAACUGCACUCGAUACUGCUCUGCUUGAGGACUGGAGAGGAGAGUGGAAUUCCUGGUGUAGCGGUGAAAUGCGCAGAUAUCAGGAAGAACACCCGUGGCUAAGGCGGCUCUCUAGUACGGUACUGACGCUGAGACGCGAAAGCGUGGGGAGCGAACAGG
rnacentral:rRNA from 1 species